rnacentral:rRNA from 1 species
CCUACGGGAGGCAGCAGUGAGGAAUAUUGGUCAAUGGGCGCGAGCCUGAACCAGCCAAGUCGCGUGAGGGAAGACGGUCCUAUGGAUUGUAAACCUCUUUUGUCGGGGAGCAAAAGACGCCACGCGUGGCGUUCCGAGAGUACCCGAAGAAAAAGCAUCGGCUAACUCCGUGCCAGCAGCCGCGGUAAUACGGAGGAUGCGAGCGUUAUCCGGAUUGAUUGGGUUAAAAGGGUGCGCAGGGGGAAGACAAAGUCAGGGGUAAAAUUGAGGGGCUAAACCGCUACGAGCCGUUGAAACUGGUUGUCUUGAGUGAGUGAGAGGUAUGCGGAAUGCGUGGUGUAGCGGUGAAAUGCAUAGAUAUCACGCAGAACUCCGAUUGCGAAGGCAGCAUACCGGCGCUCAACUGACGCUCAUGCACGAAAGUGUGGGUAUCGAACAGGAUUAGAUACCCUAGUAGUC